rnacentral:snRNA from 1 species
AUACUUACCUGGCAGGGGAGAUAUCAUGACCAUGAAGGUGGUUUUCCCAGGGCGAGGCUUAUACAUUGCACUUGGGAUGUGCUGACCGCUGCGAUUUCUCCAAAUGUGGGAAACUCGACUGCACGGUUUGUGGUAGUGGGGGACUAUGUUUGUUCUCCCA